GUUCCGUAGGUGAACCUGCGGAAGGAUCAUUAUCGUAAAACCGAGGUGCGAGGGCUGUCGCUGACCUUUUCGGUCGUGCACGCCCGAGCGCUCUCACACAAUCCAUCUCACCCCUUGUGCACCACCGCGUGGGUCCCUCUCUGGCUCGUCCGGAGGGGGGCUCGCGUUUUCACACAAACUUGAAGUAGUGUAGAAUGUCCUUUUUUUGCGAUAACACGCAAUCAAUACAACUUUCAACAACGGAUCUCUUGGCUCUC
rnacentral:misc_RNA from 1 species